CCCGAAAUGAACCUAGAACUUCUGUGAUGUGAAGUCAGGAAUUUAAUUUAAUAGGUGUCUGGAGAAUCCUGACAGUGGGCCUAGGACUGGCCAGGCUCCGUCAAAGUGGAACACAAGCCCAUGCCUCGAGGAGACGCUCCAUAAUUCCCUACUGGGAGGAAUGGUCUUUCAUUUUGCAGAGGAGGACACUGCGAUGGGGAAAGUUUAGUCAAUACUGCAGGGAACCGUGAAUACCUGCGUCAUUCUCUUCCAAGCACCACCUACUAUAGACCGCAACCUUCUUGAUGUGGAUUCAUACGGA
rnacentral:lncRNA from 12 species